CCCACUCUGUUUGAAAAGCAGGUGGGGGCUAAUAAAAAAGGUUUCUCAAAAUUUUAACAUGGACUGUUAUUACACAUUUCAAGCCCCCGCUCACAAGGUUUUUUAUGAUGACCAUAAAAAGGGGCUGAAAGCUCAAACUAGGCAAACAGGGAUUCUGGUGUUUUUCCAGAGUAUGAAGAGCUGGUGGGUUUUGGACCAGUGA
rnacentral:lncRNA from 1 species